rnacentral:lncRNA from 1 species
GCUCCAAUUUAUAGUUUAAAUUAUUUUUGAUAGAAGACAUAACUAAAAAAUAUAGUUGAAUGAGAGAGUUUUGAAAAUAAAAAUAGAAAAGUUAAAAAUAUAAGAAUGAUAAUGUGGCAAUUAAGGAAGGCUAAAUUAUUAAACUUUGAUAUCUUAAUGAAAAGAGAUGACACUGAUAGAGAUAUUAAUAUGUAACUAGGAUAUAGAAGGGAAUUGUACGAGAGCAUGUGAGUUGUACUGCUUGGGGAUAAAUAUAUACGCCC